AGCCUUCUGUAUCCGUGCUGAGAUUUCGUCACACACCAGACCACAAGGGCUGAUGAUAC
rnacentral:pre_miRNA from 1 species